GUCACUUCCGUUGCCUCCAGCGGCCGCUUCGCCAGCGCGCAUUUUUGAACGGCGUUGCUCUAGUAACAGGCCCAAACCGUCCUGGAAAGCGGAUCCGAUGUUGGUGGCAGUGUCGGAGAUCCUCACGGACGAGGCCCCCAGAAGGAGGUGCUGCCUGCCAUCCGAGGAAUGAACUGGGCACCUCGUCCUGCGUCAGGAUCGGUGACGGACGCCCCAGCAAUGUCUCCUCGUCCUCCGACUCCAGGCCCAGGCGUGGUGGACUAAUUAUCCGCGGGGCUAUGAGGUCACUGGCUGAGGGCGGUGUUGGCACGAACGGCGAGAAGACAUUCAGCCCAACGGGUCCAGCCUGUUGCACCGUUUAGUGGCGUCGUUACUGAUCAUUGAUUCGGCUCCAUCCAUGAAACCUCCCAGACUCCGACCUGGGGAGGGGGGAAGAGGUGGAGAAAACUGGACUGCGAGUUCCCUGCGGCCUCUUACUCGUGAUUCUGCAGAGUUUCCACCACACCACCCCCCGCAAGCAUCCGGUGUGCUCCCACCGCUCAGGCUCAGGCACAGGACUACUCCGCCUGCCAGUUAAACAGAUUGCAUUGAAACCCAUGGAGCCCAAAAUUCAAUGAUGAAGCACAGGAGAAAGUAAUUUGGCCUUUUAUACACGUCUAUCCCUUUGAAAUUAGUCCCGCGUCUCUGUCCUAUCCUCAAAACGUUUUUCUCCACAUGUGUUUGCAUCCAUGGAUAAGAGAUCAGGCGUUUAACUGACUCCAGUCUCCUGCCUUGUCACUGGAUUCUAUCCUCUGGAUGUCAAAGUUAUCUUCUGAGAAACGGUGAGCAGAUGAUGACUGGCAUUCUGAUCAACCACAGUGGCACAAACCAACUCAGGAAGUGGCCUCGCUUUGAGGUGCAGAACCGAGCCAGCUAUUCUUGUCAUUAUGAACACAACAGCAAAGGAAUUGAGACCAGGGACUUGGGUAAGAGGAACAGCUGCUGUAAGAGCAGUUUCAGUAAGAUGCUGAAAUAAGACCAUAAGCUGCAGAAGCAGAAUUAGAUUAACCAUCCUCUGACUGAAGAAAUGUUUCUGUGUCUCAGUUGUAAAGGGUUGUCCCUUUUCUCUGAGGCGGUGCCCUUGAGUCUUAGCUUGUCCUAUGAAUGGAAAUAUCUCCUCCACAUCCGUCUAUCCAAGAUUCUCAUCAAGUCAGGAGAUCAAUCUUGGUUCAAUAGAGAGUGCAGGAAGGCAUGCCAGGAGCAGCACCAGGCAUACCUGAAGAUGAGGUAUCAACGUGGUGAUACUACCAAUCAGGACUACUUGCAUGCCAAACAGCAGAAGUAGUAAGUGUUAGAGCCAAGCAAUCCCAUAACCGAUGGAUCAGAUCUGAACUCUGCAGUCCUGCCAAUCCAGUUGUGAAUGGUGGUGGACAAUUAAACAAAUUACUGGAGGAGGAGGCUCCCCAAGUAUCCACAUCCAAUUCCAAUAAUGGAAGAGCACAACGCAUCAGUGCAAAAAACAAUGCUGAAGCAUUCUCGGCAAUCUUCAGCCAGAAGUGCUAAGUGGGUGAUCCAUUUUGGCUGCCUCCAGUGCUCCCCAGCAGUACAGAUACCAAUCUUCUACAAAUCCAACCCAGUCAAUUACCAUCCCAUCAGUCUACUCUUGAUCAACAAUAAAGUGAUGGAAGGUGUUACCAACAGUGCUAUCAAGCAGCAUCUGCACAGUGACACCCAGAGUGGGCUCUACCAGGGCCACUUGGCCCCUGAUCUCACUACAGUCUUGGUUCAAACGUGCUCAAAAGAGCUGAAUUCCAGGGUGAGGUGAGACUGACAACCCUCGAUACCAAGGCUGCAUUCGACUGAGUAUGGCAUAAAGGAGCCCUAACUAAAUUGGAGUCAGUGGUAAUCAGAGAGUAAACUCUCUUUUGGUUGGAGUUGUACCUGACAUGUAGGAAGAUGGUUGUACUUGUUGGAGAUCAACCAGCUGAGCUCCAGCAAUCUUUGCAGGAAUUCCUCAGGGUAGUGUCCUCAGCUCAACCAUCUUCAGCUGCUGAUCAAUGACUUUCUCUCCAACACCAGAUUAGAAGUGAGGAUGUUUGCCAAGAUUAUACAAUGUUCGGUGUUAUUUGUGACUCCUCAGAUACUAAACAGUCUGUGUUGAAAUGCAACAAGGUCUGGACCGUAUUAUGUGGCAAGUGACAUUCGAGCCACACAAAUACCAGCUAUGACCAACACCAAUAAAAGGCAAUCUAACUACCACUUGUUGACAUUCAGUAGUGUUGCCAUUACUUGAAUUCUCCACUAUCAACAUCCUGGAGUUAUCAUUGACCAGAAACUCAACUGGAUUCACCACACAAAAACACAAUAGCUACAAGACCAGUUCAGAAGCUAGGAAUACUGUGGCACAUAGCUCACCUCCUGACUCCUUUUCAAGCCUAUCCACCAUCUACAAGGCACAAGUCACGAGUGUGAUGGAAUACUCCCCACUUGCCUGGAUGAGCACAGCCCCAACAACACUCAAGCUUGACACCAUCCAGGACAAAGCAGCCUGCUACUAUCUACAAGAUGCACUGCAGAAAUUCACCAAGAUCAUCAGACAGCGCCUUCUAAACCCACAACCACUUCCAUCUAGAAGUAUAAGGGCAGCAGACAUAUGGGAACACCACCACCUUCAAAUUCCUCUCCAAGCCACUCUCAAUCCUGAUUUGGAGAUAUAUCACUGUUCCUUUACUGUCACUGGGUAAAAAUCCUGGAAUUCCCUCCCUAAUGAUGUUGUGGGUCACCCCACAGCAGGUGGUCUGCAUUGGUUCAAGAAGAAAGCUCACCAUCACCUUCUCAAGGGCAACUAGUGAUGGGCAAGAAAUGCUGGCCAGCAAGCAAUGCCCACAUCCCACAAAAUGAAUUUAAACAAAAACUUAUCUAAUGUCAUAUUUUUGACUUUUAUUUUUAACGUUUUGAAAUGAAUAAAGUGCACUACGUAACCACAGAAUGGGGAAACUUAUUUUCAACUCUGGGAUGGCUGCAUAUUUUGUUGUCUGCCCUACUGCAAAAAGGUUCAUAAAAGAACAUCAGCGUUUAUAGUAGCUGGACACUGUAGCCUGAAACACACAGUAAAGAGAAUAGGAGUUUAUAAACCUUAUGUUCUGAUUAAAUAUUAAAUAUGAUGUGUUACAUGCUCCAGUUCUGUAUGUAAAGAAAACAUUUUGAAGCAGUACAAAAUGAGAUUUCAAACUGCAAUCACUUCAUUGUACAGAUUUUCAACAUUGCUGAAUAGUCAUGUUGCUGACAAGAGCAAUUGGUAAUACGUUUCUCCUCUUCAGUAUUCAACUCCUCACAUUGACACCAGCAGCAACACUUGGAACUGGACAUUGCAGUUUUGGAGUGGUCUGGGAGAAAGGAACCUGCAGGUUCUUCAUAAUUCUUUGAGUAUGCUCCUUGAUUAUAUGAUGGAGAAACUGUCUUCAGUGUAGUGGAUGGGUUUGUACAGGACCAGCAUUAGGAUAACAGGCACUUUGACAUCUUCGUGUUUAAAUUCAGUUACCAGUCGUGCCACCAACUACGCAUGGGAAAAGCAUAGCCUUGCAUCAAGGAAUUUAGCAGUAGUAUCCUCAUGUUUGUAUAAAUUCUCUCUUGUGGUGUUUGACUAUACUCUACUUUUAAUCAGUGUUUUCCCUCAGGUAAAAUUGUCUAUUUCUAUGAAAUAUUCCUGGAACUUGAUUAUUGAUUCGGAAGUUGGAGAAUCAAGAUUCCUUUCAUUGCAUUUUUGAGGGAUUCAGAUUGCUACAUCUUAUCACAAUUGUUUCUCAGCAGCAGUCACAAGUCUGACAAUAAUUUAAUUAAACAUCAAUGUCUUUAAUGGUAAAACUCUUUCUUACACAAAACUGUAGCAAUGGAUGUGAAGGCAUGGAAGUUGUGUGUCUUGCAACCUCAGAAGCAAGUUGACUACAAGUGAUUAGAAUGCUGUAGAAUAUCUCUCAUCUUGAAGCUUUGGUUACUUUAUUCUUGAUAUUUAGUUCCUUUAAUAUUGGUCUAUAUUUAUUCAUUUAUCAUCACCUCUCUGUUUCAAGAUUUUCUAAUAACACAGACUGUUAAUUUUAAGUAUUAAAUGACCAAACAAACUCUUAAGUACUUACAGCCUCAAGCUUAAGUACCCAAUCUAUGCUCCAUGUAGUAACCGCUAAAAGGAACUGUCUUCCACCUCUACCCCAAAAUCGUCCACACUUAAAAUUUUAACAAUCCCAUUCAGUUCCGUUACAAUCUGUGAUCCAGCAGAAAUUUUAUCCUUAAAUUCCACUAAAUCACGCAAACUAACAAUUAUUCAACCAACUUCCAACUCACAGCACUUUUCCCGUAUUGGUUAAUCACUUACGCAUUGUCAACUUUUGCAAUAAAAACUGAAAGAACUGAGGUUACUCUAAAUCACAUGGCUGAAAAAGCUCGGCAGGUCUGGCAACUUCUGUGGAGAAAAAUCAGAGUUAAUGUUUUCAGUCUCACGAUCCUUCCUGAAAACUAUUAACAAAUUGCUAAUUAUUUCUUGAUUUAUACUGUUCAGACUUUUAACCAGACUUGUACUAAUGGUUAAUAAAAUUGACACUUCACUUAAACUUACUAUGGUGACGGUCAUUGUCAACCUGUAACCUAUUUUACACUUUCAAUUCUUACCUAUUUGUUACUGUUAACUCUUAGGCUUGUUAGCUCGAUUUUUAACUUUGCAUUUAAGUGUUAACCUGAUUUAAAUUGCUCGCUAUUAUCUAUUGACUUGCAGGAUACACCAUGAAACCUGAACUUUUUUAAAAAUUGUUCAAUGUUGGCUGUUCACUUGAUUUAUACUGUUCACCUGAAACUGCAUUACGUUUCAACCUGAUGUACGCUGUUAACUGUUAACCUGAAUUACUGUGUUUACUCAGAACCUGCCUAAGAGUGGUAACCUUAAUUACAUUGUUCAACUAUUAAUCUGUU